rnacentral:rRNA from 1 species
GGCCUUGACAUACUAAGAACUUCCAGAGAUGGAUUGGUGCCUUCGGGAACUUAGAUACAGGUGCUGCAUGGCUGUCGUCAGCUCGUGUCGUGAGAUGGUUGGGUUAAGUCCCGNAACGAGCGCAACCCUUUUCCUUAUUUGCCAGCGGGUCAUGCCGGGAACUUUAAGGAUACUGCCAGUGACAAACUGGAGGAAGGCGGGGACGACGUCAAGUCAUCAUGGCCCUUACGGCCAGGGCUACACACGUGCUACAAUGGUCGGUACAAAGGGUUGCUACCUCGCGAGAGGAUGCUAAUCUCAAAAAGCCGAUCGUAGUCCGGAUCGCAGUCUGCAACUCGACUGCGUGAAGUCGGAAUCGCUAGUAAUCGCGGAUCAGAAUGCCGCGGUGAAUACGUUCCCGGGCCUUGUACACACCGCCCGUCACACCAUGGGAGUUUGUUGCACCAGAAGUAGGUAGUCUAACCGCAAGGAGGACGCUUACCACGGUGUGGCCGAUGACUGGGGUGAAGUCGUAACAAGGUAAGCGUAGAUGA